CAACGAGGCACCUCUAAUUUACAUUGGAUUAACGACUUUAUAGCAAAAUCACCGUUUGGAAAUAGAUUAAGUCUCAUAAGCAGAAGACUUUGUGAUGUCGGCCAUCUUGGAUGCUGAAUGAUGGUGACAGAUGAAUUAUGGGACAGGAAGUUGGACUUAAUUGACUGUUAAGCAUUUAACGCUAGCGUUACUAAACGGCAGCGUUAAAUAGCUAUGAGCAACAAUAAUUAAACUGACCGUUAAGUAACAGUCAGUUAUGGAUUUAACGGAUGGUUAAGAAACGUCCAAAAAUCAGAGGUAUUUACGGAUCAUUCAUCUCACAUACGUAAUUAUUACUACCAGUAGGGUGUGAACUCCAGGUCCAGGUGCUGUGGAUACGUGAUGCCAAUAAGCAG